rnacentral:rRNA from 1 species
CCUACGGGAGGCAGCAGUGAGGAAUAUUGGUCAAUGGGCGCGAGCCUGACCCAGCAACGCCGCGUGAAGGAAGAAGGCUUUCGGGUUGUAAACUUCUUUUAAGAGGGAAGAGCAGAAGACGGUACCUCUUGAAUAAGCCACGGCUAACUACGUGCCAGCAGCCGCGGUAAUACGUAGGUGGCAAGCGUUGUCCGGAUUUACUGGGUGUAAAGGGCGUGUAGCCGGGCUGACAAGUCAGAUGUGAAAUCCGGGGGCUCAACCCCCGAACUGCAUUUGAAACUGUUGGUCUUGAGUAUCGGAGAGGCAGGCGGAAUUCCUAGUGUAGCGGUGAAAUGCGUAGAUAUUAGGAGGAACACCGGUGGCGAAGGCGGCCUGCUGGACUGUGACUGACGUUGAGGCCCGAAGGCGUGGGGAGCAAACAGGAUUAGAUACCCUUGUAGUC